GCACUAGCUUUAGCAACACAUAUACCAAAAUUGGAACGAUAUAGAGAUUAGCAGAGCCCCUGCACAAGGAUGACACACAAAUCCAUGAAGCAUUCCAUAAAAUA